GCUCCGGUGGCCUAAGUGGUUAGAGUGUCCACCUCGGAUGCUGGAGGUCCCGAGUUCGAAUUCUGGCCGAGUCA